GACACCCUGAACGUGGAAGGGAGCUCCUACCCAGGGGAAGAAAAGCCACCCAAUUGCCCCGGCUACCUCCACUUAGUUCUCAGCUGCCCUCCUUCGCCCCUCCGGCUGCUCCCUGGGUCUGAAGCACCAGCCCAAUUUGAAACACCCCUCCCGCUUUGAAGGAGGCUGGGCUGGCUGGGGGGUUAUUUUGGGAGCAGCUUCUGAGAUCCAAUGGCCUUGUUAGGGCAACACUGACCUUUCCGUCCCAGGAGGAGGGCAGGAUUGAGAGGGGCGGGGCAGCAGCCCGGAGACCGACAGCCCUGCACACCCACUGGGUGGAGAAGGGGGCCAGCCGGCUGCAGGAAUUCAGCCUUAGGCUGGGGGCUGUCACCAAGGAGGAAUUUCCCCUCUUUGAAACAGGCUGGGGACCCCUCCACCCCACCCCUUCCACUGUGCUUCUUAAAGGGAUCACACCGUGUUUUCCUUUGACUCCGGGGAAGCCAGACUUGGGACGCUCUAUGGAGACUUUGAAUCUUUCCCUCCUGCUUCCUUCCCAACUGGCAGCCUUCCUCUGGCUGGUUGAGUGGGGGCCUCCUGGGCAUGGCACUGACCAGCCGACCCAGUGCUGACUUGGCUCCCGGGCUCAUUCAGCCUCUGGGGGCAUCUUGCUUUCUCCCUCCCGGGGCACAGUGGUGAGUCAGGGGCGCCCAGCCCUGAGUGUGCGUGGAGUGUCACUGGCAGCCCCCAUCGCCCUCUCUCCCCCAAGCUGGAGGACGGUGAGGCUGUCAGGGGCUACGAUGAGAUGAGUGGGGGCCGCUUUGACUUUGAUGAUGGUGGGGCAUACUGCGGGGGCUGGGAAGGGGGGAAGGCCCACGGACAUGGGCUGUGCACGGGCCCGAAGGGCCAGGGUGAGUACUCCGGCUCCUGGAACUUUGGCUUUGAAGUGGCGGGCGUCUACACCUGGCCCAGCGGGAACACCUUCGAGGGAUACUGGAGCCAGGGCAAACGGCAUGGGCUGGGCAUAGAGACCAAGGGACGCUGGCUCUACAAGGGCGAGUGGACACACGGCUUCAAGGGACGCUACGGAACCCGGCAGAGCAGCAGCAGCGGUGCCAAGUAUGAGGGCACUUGGAACAAUGGCCUGCAGGACGGCUAUGGCACCGAGACCUAUGCAGAUGGAGGGACCUACCAGGGCCAGUUCACCAACGGCAUGCGCCACGGCUACGGCGUGCGCCAGAGCGUGCCCUACGGGAUGGCCGUGGUGGUGCGCUCGCCGCUGCGCACGUCGCUCUCGUCCCUGCGCAGCGAGCACAGCAACGGCGCGGCGGCCCCGGACUCGCCCGCCUCCCCGGCCCCCGACGGCCCCGCGCCGCCCGCCGCCGCCAUCCCGCGCGGCGGCUUCGCGCUCAGCCUGCUGGCCAACGCCGAGGCGGCGCGGGCGCCCAAGGGCGGCGGCCUCUUCCCGCGCGGCGCGCUGCUGGGCCGCCUGCGGCGCGCCGAGUCCCGCACGUCCCUGGGCAGCCAGCGCAGCCGCGUCAGCUUCCUCAAGAGCGAGCUCAGCUCGGGCGCCAGCGACGCCGCGUCCACCGCCAGCCUGGGCGAGGGCGCCGAGGGCGCGGAGGGCGCGGAGGGCGCCGACGAGGCCGCGCCCUUCGAGGCCGACAUCGACGCCACCACCACCGAGACCUACAUGGGCGAGUGGAAGAGCGACAAGCGCUCGGGCUUCGGCGUGAGCGAGCGCUCCAGCGGCCUCCGCUACGAGGGCGAGUGGCUGGACAACCUGCGCCACGGCUACGGCUGCACCACGCUGCCCGACGGCCGCCGCGAGGAGGGCAAGUACCGCCACAACGUGCUGGUCAAGGGCGCCAAGCGCCGCGUGCUGCCGCUCCGGAGCAGCAAGGUCCGCCAGAAGGUGGAGCACAGCGUGGAGGGCGCCCAGCGCGCCGCCGCCAUCGCGCGCCAGAAGGCCGAGAUCGCCGCCUCCAGGACGAGCCACGCCAAGGCCAAAGCUGAAGCAGCAGAACAGGCCGCCCUCGCUGCCAACCAGGAGUCCAACAUUGCUCGUACUUUGGCCAGGGAGCUGGCUCCAGACUUCUACCAGCCAGGACCGGAGUAUCAGAAGCGCCGGCUGCUGCAGGAGAUCCUGGAGAACUCGGAGAGCCUGCUCGAGCCCCCGGAGCGGGGCCCAGGGCCCGCGGGGGCCCCGCCGCCCGCCCGCGAGAGCCCGCAGCUGCACGAGCACGAGCCCCCCGCGCCCGAGGGCGGCCCCCCGUCGCCGGCAGGGACGCCCCCGCAGCCCAAGCGGCCCCGCCCGGGGGCGGCCAGGGAGCGCCCCGCGAGCCCGCGCGCCUGGAACGGGGAGCCGGCCGCCGAGCGCAUGGCCAUCGAGGCGCUGCAGCCGCCGCCCGCGCCGCCGCCCGAGCCCGAGGUCGCGCUGUACCGGGGCUACCACAGCUACGCCGUGCGCACCGCCCCGCCCGCGCCGCCGCCCUUCGAGGACGAGCCCGAGCCCGCGCCCGCGCCCGAGCCCCAGCCCCAGCCCCAGCCCCAGCCCCGGGCCGCGGGGCCCGACUCCGCGCCGCCGUCGCCGGCCGCCGCCCCCGAGCCCGCGCCCGAGCCCCCCGCCAAGCUGGAGCCCAAGCCCAUCGUGCCCAAAGCCGAGCCCAGGGCCAAGGCCCGCAAGACUGAGGCCCGGGGGCUGAGCAAGGCGGGGGCCAAGAAGAGGGCUCGGAAGGAGGCGGCCUCCGCGGAGGCCGAGGCCGAGGUGGAGGAGGUCCCCAACACCGUCCUUAUCUGCAUGGUGAUCCUGCUUAACAUCGGCCUGGCCAUCCUCUUCGUUCACCUCCUGACCUGACACUUGUCUACCAGGGGCAGGAACAGAUUGGUGAUUUGAAAGAUCACGUGUUCCCCAACACGCACACACAUACACAGCCAUAGCUCGUUAGCUCAACAUGUGCAGGGCACCUGCUUCCUGUCAGAGCCAGAGGUUCCUGCUGAGGAUGUGAGGACCCGUCUGCCAGCAUUACCAGGCCAGGUGGCCAAGGAGGACUGAACUCUAGACCUGGAGCCCUGGGGUCCAGCUCACAUCCACACCACAUCCGUUUAAGGAGGCCUCCCGUGGCACCUACGCUGGGUGGCAGUGAUGCCCAGAGCAAUAGAAUGUGCUGGGGGUCCUCCGGGAGCUCUGUGCCCUGUGGCAGGGAAGCCUCGAAGGAAGCGCCCUGGUCUCUUGAGCGCACCUGUCCCUCAUCCUCAUCUAUUCCCUCGCCUUGCUGCUAGGGUCCCCCUUCCCUGAGCUUUUGUGUGUUUUGGGAGAAGUCACUAGACCAGGAUCAUCAGACUAACUCCCAGACCCUUUCCUUCCCCCCCUGCCCUGCUUUAUUUUAAUCUGGGUGCCGAGGGAGUGACAGAUCCCCGUGGCGGGUGAGCAAGGGAGCCACCCUCAGUGUGGAGGCCCUGCCUUUCAUGGGCUCCAUGCAGCACACAUGCUCUCCCUUGCUGACAGAUGUUCAGGACGCCAAUAGAGGAAAUGGACAUGCUCAGUUUGAACACCCCCCGACACGGUGCUCCGGUCUCCACCCCCUUGUCCAGUUAGCCCCCUUCUGGGCCAAGAGAAGGGGGGAAACUCAGGCACUGGAACCUGUGGCUGGGAAGCCACUGACCAGGUGGCCAGGGUGGGAGCGGGAAGAAGGGCUAAGGGGCAUUCAGGAUGGCCCCUGUGAUCGAGUGCGCCGGAGCCUGAGGCUGCCAUCGCAUCUGGGGCUGCCGGUGUGCCCGGGACGCCAAAGGGCCGCCCUGCCGGAGUCCUGGGGCUGCCAGCAUAGAGUUAGCCCGCUGCCCACGCCGGGGCCCACCGCGGCCCCGAGGGAGCAGGAGCGUGGAAGCCCAGGCGGAUUUCCCUGGGGUAGACUCUCAGGCAGGUGCUCAAGACAAGCUGUUUGUGAACCAGCAUUUCGCAGGGAGAGAAGAGCAAGUCUGGAGGCCCCCGUGGGUGCAGUCUGAUGGACAAUAAGCGCCUCGGCUCGCUUGGCGGAAGAUGGUGUUUGCAUGUAGCUCAUUACAGAUGUUUUGUACCACACUGGGUCUCGGGUCCCUUGUGCUUGCCGGGGCGGGGUGGAGGCCGAGGGCUCCGGGCCCCUGCGCCCCGGGGGGACAGAGGGAAAGGGCUUCUAGGCCCCUCCAAACCCAGGGAAGGUUGUGGCCGUGGCAUCCAAGCGGAGCCACAGGGAUGUGGACCUUGGGGGCUUUGGCGGUGUGGUCUAGCCUCCCCAGCGCAGCUCUGCAAGCUGGAGUCUGCUUCUGACGAGACUGGCCGUGCCUUUCCCGCACGGUGCUUGGGAGCCGUCCUCCAGCUCCCACGUGGGGCCUCACGGCGAGGUUGGCAUCUCGGACUGCGUUUCUUAGAGAGGAGCCUGCGGUUCUCCCGUCCCCAGCCAGCCCGUGGCUCUGCAUCCGUGUCUGGGCUUUUCUGGACUCUGAGGGAAUCCACUGCUCAGGGCCGCUGGGUCCCGGGCCUUGGCUCUGAGAGCCUUGUCCACACUUGGGGCUGGCUCAGUGCUGGGGAUAAGCCUCUGGGUAGCAGAGCUCCCGGGCCUAGGGUUAGGGCUGGUGUUUGAGGUGAGGGUUCAGGGUGCUGCAGUCUGUACAAUAAUAAACCUGCAUCUGCUCGCGG